UACAGAGGUCUCAAGCGUUGUUCGGAUUCAUUGGGCGUAAAGGGUGUGUAGGUGGCGCCGUAAGUCGGGUGUGAAAUCUCGGGGCUUAACUCCGAAACUGCAUUCGAUACUGCGGUGCUUGAGGACUGGAGAGGAGACUGGAAUUCAUGGUGUAGCAGUGAAAUGCGUAGAGAUCAUGAGGAAGACCAGUGGCGAAGGCGGGUCUCUGGACAGUUCCUGACACUGAGACACGAAGGCCAGGGAGCAAACGGG
rnacentral:rRNA from 1 species